rnacentral:lncRNA from 1 species
UGUGGGACUGGGGUGUUACAAACUCCCCCACUUAAAUUCCUGACGUCCUCGUCAGGCCGAAACGGAUAGCCCAUAGGCCCAGAUCGAACCUCUCUAACCAUUGUGGGAUAAUACCGGCUGGCUUCGUGUCCCCGCCUCCGGAUCUCUGUCCAUUGCGGGAUAAUACCACCAGCCUUCGUGUCCCCACCUCCGGCAACUUGACGAAUCAAGCUUUCGAGAACCUCGCUCUGAUACCAUAUGUGACAACCCGAGUCAAAUCCCGAGUCUUUUUCGAAAAUCGGGUCAAGUCCCGAACUCCGAAUCCGAAAAUAAGCCAAAUAUAUUGGCCCAACUGCAACAACUUGG